UCAUAACUGGAUCUUUCCAUUACUUGGUAGCACACAGGAGGAUUUGUUGGAGUGGUUUUUUGUUUUGUUUUGUUCUGCUACUAUUAAGCAAGAUUGCUUCAUAAUCCUUUAAGGGUUUUUUUUAGCCAAGUCUUAUUUACAUAUCCUGGCCAGCAAGCACGUGAUUAACCCAAGGAUGUUGGAGGGAAGGCAGAUGCUACAUCUGAAAAAAAUCUGAUUAUGUUUCAUUCUGGAGAUACAAACAGCCGAGCUGUCAAAAGGACAACAGUCUCUUGGGCCAACAUGACACCAAACUCUCAAACUCUGGAGACCCUCAGAGACAAGGAGGAGGAGCUGCUGAGUUCAAACAAGAACAAUGAAUUCCUCAAGCCCAAGCAAGAAUGUGACAAGGUGUCAACAAAGCCAACCAGGAAGGUGAUGUAUGGCCCAUAAAUCACUUCACAAACCAGGGCUGCAAAGAAAGCACCCAGCAACCCAGAGCCCCGAGUGUGAGUUUUUUCUACUCCUAAACCUUCACACCCCCCACAUCCACCCUCCUCCAGCACCUCACUGACUGCUCACCUGUCACUCCUCCACUGACCAAUUGGCCUACUCAUGGGGUGAUAAAUGAGAUCUAUGAAACUGUAAAGGAUAAAUUCUUACUCUUAUUCCCAACAAGCUGGUGUCAACAAUAAUGCAUACAAGGAAGAAAACAUAAUUGAAAAAUUAGUACAAAUUUGCUUCUGUUUUAUUGUCCACUCAUUCAGCAGAUGUUUAUCCAGUGUGUGCAAAGUGCAAUAGUAGGCUAUAGAGAGAUAAAAAACAAAAUCUCACUAACUGUGGGCCAUUAAUUGGCAUACCUCAAACUGCCCUAUAUUGUUACCUACCUUUUUUGGUGUCUGAUUUUUGAAUUCCAUAAGGACAGCGACCAUAUGUUAAACCUCCAUGUGUGCCUGCUCUUUUCAGUCAUCUAAUAAAUGAUUCUGCCAUUAUUGUUAAAAAAAAAAAAAAAAAAA
rnacentral:lncRNA from 1 species